rnacentral:lncRNA from 1 species
GAAUCUCCAGAGUGAAGACUGAAGACCACAGGCAACAACUGUGACUUCGAGCCAGUGAUUCUGCUAAUCGAAGUCCCUCACAUUCUUUAGAGGGUGAACAUGUGAACCAACAUAAGCCACCCAGAUGCUCUGCCCCUGGAAUUUGAGACUUGAGUAGAAACCAUUAAAUGAAACUGUUAAGAGUUGAUUCACAUGCAUGGCAGAGCCUAAUAACAACAAUAAUCAUUAAUAGUUAUUGAGAACUUAUGUACCAGGCAUUGUUCUAAGCACUUUCUUUACAUAUAUCAACCCUGUCGAUCCUCAUGAUUACCCAAGAGCCCAAAGAGCUUGAAGUACCC